AAAUGUGUAAGCAAUAAAUCGGAGGUGUUUAACAUAAAUAGAUUGGUAGCUAGUACGUGGUGGUGGUGGGGGGGACUCAUUUACUUAAUGAGAAUGUUCUUGAUGUGAGCAGCCUAAAACGAUUACAUGAGAGAGAGAGAGAGAGAGAGAGAGCGGGGGUGGGGGGAGACACAUAGGACUUGGUAGCUACCGAACAAAUGUGUCACGACAAGGUUUAAUUUGGCCUGAGUUAUCCAACCAUUUUGAAAGGAAUGCAUUUUGGUUAAGAAACUUGUUGAUGGCGCACUUCGAAUCUCCGUUGGGGGUAUUUUGAGGGGAUGGGAAGAGAAGGGGCUCGCGUCUCCUACCCAGUUUCCUACCGGAGUUUUCCCGAGGCUCACUGGAGCCUUCUGAACUAAAGACGUUUAGAAUGCAGAAUUGUUGGGGAGACUGUAGAGGAAGGAAGAGUGUAUUUAUAGCUGAAGUGGGUUUGUAAACUCAGCCUUUGCUUUGGGAUUAAUUUUUAAUAAGUGCCAGGCAUUCCUCUGAUUUUCAUCCUGGCUUGGCUGUGGCUUUCUCUCGGUCUGUGUGAAGUUCGGGUGUUCCCUGUUUUAAAGCCGGAGUUGUCACAGCCUGGGCGUUUUCUGUUUCGGCUUAUGGCUUUUUUUUUUUUUUCUCUUUUCCUGAAUGAGUGUCCUUUGUGUAACCCCAGUAAUUCAGAAAUCCUGCAGUCAUAGGGACUGCCCUGUCAUGUGACUUAGGUACUAGGUGCUGUCUGUGAUUGGUCAGCAGCUAAUUGGCGGGUCCCUAUAAGAGGUCCUGCUUUGGGUGUCCAGCCACCGUCCUGCCCGGAGUGCUGCUCAACAAGGGUGGAGGUGUGUGGGGGGGUGGCGGGUGUCCAGUGAUUCAGCUACAUGUGAUAGAUGACCAAGUGACUUCUUCCUUGGGGUCUGCACAUCACUAGAAGACACCCAACACCGGUGGUGGCCGACUUGAUCAAACUCUGGCUCCCCGAACUGGAAUGAAAUGCAGUUAACUCUUUAGAAAACUUUCGCAGGAAAAGCGCCUCGUGUGAUCUGGAACAAAGACAUUUUAUAAUCAGAUUUAUCAAGCUGUGAAGAGGGAGUUGUAGCGAACGGAAGCAGCAGCAUUCUGUCACCAGGAAAUACUGCUUUAUCCAGAAUUGAACCCCUCCCCAGAAGGCUGCGGAUCACCUAGCUGCUGGCGUGUGUAGGUACCCUCAAUGGCUCAGUAGCCAGUGUAGAUCCUGUCUUUUGUAAUCAGUAGCUACAUCUGGCUACUGGGUCUCUGAUGGCAUCUUCUGGCUUCUGUUACAGCAUCCUGAGCAAGGUUAUUGGGGAGUCCUUAAUAAUUCAGUUGUUGCCUUGAUUUACACACACACACACACACACACACACACACACACACAUAGAGUUAAGUUCCCGAGUGGUAACUCUUCCAUUAUUAGCUGGAGAGUGAGAACCAUCAAGGUUUUAUGAAUGAUGAGGUGACUUGAUUUCAGCACCACAAGACGGGGGAAUCCAUAGACUCUCUUUUUCUUUCCUCUUUUCCCCAUGUGGAAGGUGUCAUUUGGUCACAAAACCAUCUGUCUACCUAUCUACUUCUCUACCUGUAUAUCUUAUUCAUCCCUCCAUCCACCCAUCCAUCCACCCAUCCACCCGCCCAUCCAUCCACCCAUCCACCCACCCAUCCAUCCAUCCAUCCAUCCAUCCACCCAUCCAUCCACCCAUCCACCCAUCCAUCCAUCCAUCCAUCCAUCCAUCCGCCCACCCAUCCGCCCACCCAUCCGCCCAUCCAUCCACCCAUCCACCCACCCAUCCAUCCAUCCAUCCAUCCACCCACCCAUCCACCCACCCAUCCACCCAUCCUUUUCAUCUCUUGACUUUUAAAUGGCAUUUUCACAAUUAUGUGAUUAAAUAAUGACAAUCUGACGGUAUGGCAGUUUAAGGAAAUUUUACUUGUCGUUGAUAAGUCCCAGCAGUGCAUUCUGACUUGUCUUUUCAGUGUGGUAGAUAAGAUACAUACCAGGAACUUUGAACAUAGCCGGCAAUUGCGUUGAAAUCAUGCAUGGGGAGGACUUGCAAGGCCAGCGUCCAGGUCUGGGGCGUGAACCUGGCAUACAAUGUAGAUAUCUGUGUUUCUUGGGCAACAGCUACAUUGUCUGCUGGGUUUCAGGCUACCUGGAAACAUGUUCUUCAUGGUUAUGCCCUCACCGCUUCACCUGUACGGGGUUGGAAUAACUGUUUCCCAGGAGGCAUAAACCUGUGGGCUUUAGCAUUGGACAGAGCGUAGAGAAAGACCUCAUGAGAGCUGAUCACCUUAGCAAAGAAUUAUUUUGCCCUGAUUUCACCCAAGAUGCUCUCCCACACCAGCCGAGGAAACGGAAUGAACCAGAGAAAAGGUGUAAUGCCAUUCUUCCUUCUUUCUGCCUCCGCUCUCAAAGAUUGAUCCCCUUCCAUGCCGUUAUUAAUUAGUGUUUGGUUUCUGUUCGUAAUUACUAUCACAAGGCACGGCACCUAUGGGCCCCGAUCACAAUUCCAUGCUCAUUUUGGUUUCUUGCCCAGGAACCCAGUUUAGUUUUGUUCUCCCCUUACCACAGCCCCGUAAGUGAGUGACUCUGUCUCACCAGAAUCCAGAGCUUUCACUCUGCCCCAACAUUCAACCCCAUCAUUUGCUCCCUGAACUGAGCUCUGGAAUUUAUGUAAACUGGAUGUUUGUUUGUUUUCUUACCACUGCUCACCAUCUCUGUUAUGAAACCAAAAGAACAGCUUUAUGGCAUGACCGAGAACUUGUAAAGACAAGACACCAGUUUGCAAGAGAAAGGGAAGAAGAGAAUGGAAAUAGCUUCUGGAAGACUUUUUACGUUAUGUUUUGUUUGUCUGCUCCUGGUAAAUAAUGUAAUCGUCUAAACAUUAAAAAAAAAAAACCCUAGCAAUUUAAACCAUUAAAUUCUCACUAAGAAAGGAAUAUAAC